rnacentral:rRNA from 1 species
AGUGAACGCUGGCGGUAGGCCUAACACAUGCAAGUCGAACGGCAGCACAGUAAGAGCUUGCUCUUACGGGUGGCGAGUGGCGGACGGGUGAGGAAUACAUCGGAAUCUACUUUUUCGUGGGGGAUAACGUAGGGAAACUUACGCUAAUACCGCAUACGACCUACGGGUGAAAGCAGGGGAUCUUCGGACCUUGCGCGAUUGAAUGAGCCGAUGUCGGAUUAGCUAGUUGGCGGGGUAAAGGCCCACCAAGGCGACGAUCCGUAGCUGGUGUGAGAGGAUGAUCAGACACACUGGAACUGAGACACGGUCCAGACUCUUACGGGAGGCAGCAGUGGGGAAUAUUGGACAAUGGGCGCAAGCCUGAUCCAGCCAUACCGCGUGGGUGAAGAAGGCCUUCGGGUUGUAAAGCCCUUUUGUUGGGAAAGAAAAGCAGCAGGUUAAUACCCCGCUGUUCUGACGGUACCCAAAGAAUAAGCACCGGCUAACUUCGUG